GGAACUAAAAGUCGUAACAAGGUCUCCGUAGGUGAACCUGCGGAGGGAUCAUUACAGAGUUCGUGCUCUCACGGGUAGAUCUCCCACCCUGUGUUAUUGUUACCUUUGUUGCUUUGGCGGGCCGCCAGGCCCCGGCCAGGCUACCGGCCCCCGCUGGUACGCGCCCGCCAAAGGACCCCAAACCCUGAACGUUAGUGUCGUCUGAGUACUAUACAAUAGUUAAAACUUUCAACAACGGAUCUCUUGGUUCUG
rnacentral:misc_RNA from 1 species